UGAGGAACCAACUAGCCUGCCGAAUUAUCGGUGUUGCAUAUAUAAACAUUUUAAUAUUGUAGAACAUGCCAAAGAUAUAAACAAGCGCACAGCAUAACGGGCGUCAACGCUCGGCUUUUAGAGGUCACAGUGACCAUGCCCUUUGACCUAGUGACCCGAAAAUGGGUGUAGUGUGUAGAACUCAUCAAGGUGCAUCUACAUAAGAAGUUUUUAAGUUGUAGGUAGAUCACAAUGAUUUAAGAGCCAAUGUUCAAAACCUUAACAAAAUGUAUUGGUUUUAGCAGAACGCCGGCGGACGAGCUGGCUAUGACAAUACCUCU